GUGUUAGUUUGCUGAGAAUGAUGGUUUCCAGCUUCAUCCAUGUCCCUGCAAAGGACAUGAUCUCAUCCUUUUUUACGGCUGCAUGGUAUUCCAGGUGUAUAUGUGCCACAUUUUCUUUAUCCAGUUUAUCAUUGAUAGGCAUUUGGGUUGGUUCCACGUUGCUCUUGGAACAUAAUGGAAGUAAACUAGAAAACGAUAACAAAAAGAGAGCUGGAAAAUCCCAAAAUAUGUAGAGAUUAAACAAAACAAUUCUAUUAACACUUGGGUCAA
rnacentral:lncRNA from 1 species